GCCUAGGUGGCUCAGUUGGUUAAGUGUCCAACUUUGGCUCGGGUCAUGAUCUCACGGUUUGUGGGUUCGAGUCUCACCUCAGGCU
rnacentral:tRNA from 1 species